rnacentral:rRNA from 1 species
ACGGAAGGCAGCAGUGGGGAAUAUUGCACAAUGGGCGAAAGCCUGAUGCAGCGACGCCGCGUGAGCGAAGAAGUAUUUCGGUAUGUAAAGCUCUAUCAGCAGGGAAGAAAAUGACGGUACCUGACUAAGAAGCACCGGCUAAAUACGUGCCAGCAGCCGCGGUAAUACGUAUGGUGCAAGCGUUAUCCGGAUUUACUGGGUGUAAAGGGUGCGUAGACGGCUGUGUAAGUCAGAAGUGAAAUCCCAGGGCUUAACCCUGGUGCUGCUUUUGAAACUAUACGGCUAGAGUGCUGGAGGGGCAAGCGGAAUUCCUGGUGUAGCGGUGAAAUGCGUAGAUAUCAGGAGGAACACCGGUGGCGAAGGCGGCUUGCUGGACAGUAACUGACGUUGAGGCACGAAAGCGUGGGGAGCAAACAGGAUUAGAUACCCUGGUA